CCUACGGGCGGCAGCAGUGAGGAAUAUUGGUCAAUGGACGAAAGUCUGAACCAGCCAUGCCGCGUGCAGGAUGACGGCUCUAUGAGUUGUAAACUGCUUUUGUAUUAGGGUAAACACCCCUACGUGUAGGGGCUUGAGAGUAUAAUACGAAUAAGGAUCGGCUAACUCCGUGCCAGCAGCCGCGGUAAUACAUAGGAUGCAAGCGUUAUCCGGAUUUACUGGGCGUAAAACGAGCGCAGGCGGGUUAACAAGUUUGGUAUAAAAGGAUUUUGCUUAACGAAAGUUUGUAUCAAAAACUGUUAAUCUAGAGUGAAGUAGAGAGUUCUGGAAUGCCAGGUGGAGCGGUGGAAUGCGUAGAUAUAUGGAAGAACACCAGUGGCGAAGGCGAGAACUUAGGCUAUCACUGACGCUUAGGCUCGAAAGUGUGGGGAGCAAAUAGGAUUAGAUACCCCAGUAGUC
rnacentral:rRNA from 1 species